AGUAAGUCUUCACGGAAUUAAUCUCGUAAAAAACGUAAAAGUGAAAUGGCAAAUUGAACUUCAGCGUCACGUUGUUCUCCGUUUCAUUGUUAGGUUAUCCAGAACUUUCUCGAAAUUCGGUAAGCAGAAGAAGAGAUCUACGUACUCCAGUAGCAUGACGGCAGUAAAGUAGGCGAAUGUUACGUUGAAUAAGUAAAAAUUUGGUGCCAGAGGCCAUACUCCAAUCCAUCUUGACAUCCAUCUACCCCAGUAAAAAGCUCUAACACCGUUUUCCAAAUCGCGCUCAUCCUAGUUUAUGUCGAAUGAGGGAUCCUCGGCUGUGACAAUCUCCGAAGUAAACAUUUCUUUGUUGGGUGACAGUCCGCAGACUAUACAUAUAAUUGCUGAAAGUUUUAUUAUUUUUAUAUGUACGCA